GUACUUAUCAAGCAGAGGAGAUAUGAUGAUCACAAAGGUGGGUUUUUUUUCCAGGACAAGCCUUAUCCAUUGCACUAAGGAUGCACUGAUCCUUGCAGUUUUCCCAAAUGUGGGAACCUCAGCUGUGUAACUUUUGAGGUGGUAUGGGACUGUGUUCACAUUUUCCUCCA
ensembl:snRNA U1 U1 spliceosomal RNA